UACGGAGGGGGCUAGCGUUGUUCGGAUUGACUGGGCGUAAAGCGCGCGUAGGCGGAUUGGCAAGUCAGAGGUGAAAGCCCGGGGCUCAACCCCGGAACGGCCUUUGAGACUGCUUGUCUUGAGUUCGAGAGAGGUGGGUGGAAUUCCGAGUGUAGAGGUGAAAUUCGUAGAUAUUCGGAGGAACACCAGUGGCGAAGGCGGCUCACUGGUCCGGAACUGACGCUGAGGCGCGAAAGCGUGGGGAGCAAACAGG
rnacentral:rRNA from 1 species